rnacentral:rRNA from 1 species
AAGUCGUAACAAGGUCUCCGUUGGUGAACCAGCGGAGGGAUCAUUACUGAGUUUACGCUCUAUAACCCUUUGUGAACAUACCUAUAACUGUUGCUUCGGCGGGUAGGGUCUCCGCGACCCUCCCGGCCUCCCGCCUCCGGGCGGGUCGGCGCCCGCCGGAGGAUAACCAAACUCUGAUUUAACGACGUUUCUUCUGAGUGGUACAAGCAAAUAAUCAAAACUUUUAACAACGGAUCUCUUGGUUCUGGCAUCGAUGAAGAACGCAGCGAAAUGCGAUAAGUAAUGUGAAUUGCAGAAUUCAGUGAAUCAUCGAAUCUUUGAACGCACAUUGCGCCCGCCAGCAUUCUGGCGGGCAUGCCUGUUCGAGCGUCAUUUCAACCCUCAAGCUCUGCUUGGUGUUGGGGCCCUACAGCUGAUGUAGGCCCUCAAAGGUAGUGGCGGACCCUCCCGGAGCCUCCUUUGCGUAGUAACUUUACGUCUCGCACUGGGAUCCGGAGGGACUCUUGCCGUAAAACCCCCCAAUUUUCCAAAGGUUGACCUCGGAUCAGGUAGGAAUACCCGCUGAACUU